rnacentral:rRNA from 1 species
GAGUGCUAAGUGUUUAGGGGGGUUUCCGCCCCUUAGUGCUGCAGCUAACGCAUUAAGCACUCCGCCUGGGGGAGUACGGCCGCAAGGCUGAAACUCAAAGGAAUUGACGGGGGCCCGCACAAGCGGUGGAGCAUGUGGUUUAAUUCGAAGCAACGCGAAGAACCUUACCAGGUCUUGACAUCCCGCUGACCGCCUUAGAGAUAAGGCUUUCCCUUCGGGGACAGCGGUGACAGGUGGUGCAUGGUUGUCGUCAGCUCGUGUCGUGAGAUGUUGGGUUAAGUCCCGCAACGAGCGCAACCCUUGAUCUUAGUUGCCAGCAUUCAGUUGGGCACUCUAAGGUGACUGCCGGUGACAAACCGGAGGAAGGUGGGGAUGACGUCAAAUCAUCAUGCCCCUUAUGACCUGGGCUACACACGUGCUACAAUGGACGGUACAAAGGGCAGCCAACCCGCGAGGGGGAGCCAAUCCCAGAAAACCGUUCUCAGUUCGGAUUGCAGGCUGCAACUCGCCUGCAUGAAGCCGGAAUC